rnacentral:rRNA from 1 species
GACGAACGCUGGCGGCGUGCCUAACACAUGCCAGUCGAACGGAAAGGCCCUGCUUUUGUGGGGUGCUCGAGUGGCGAACGGGUGAGUAACACGUGAGUAACCUGCCCUUGACUUUGGGAUAACUUCAGGAAACUGGGGCUAAUACCGGAUAGGAGCUCCUGCUGCAUGGUGGGGGUUGGAAAGUUUCGGCGGUUGGGGAUGGACUCGCGGCUUAUCAGCUUGUUGGUGGGGUAGUGGCUUACCAAGGCUUUGACGGGUAGCCGGCCUGAGAGGGUGACCGGCCACAUUGGGACUGAGAUACGGCCCAGACUCCUACGGGAGGCAGCAGUGGGGAAUAUUGCACAAUGGGCGGAAGCCUGAUGCAGCAACGCCGCGUGCGGGAUGACGGCCUUCGGGUUGUAAACCGCUUUCGCCUGUGACGAAGCGUGAGUGACGGUAAUGGGUAAAGAAGCACCGGCUAACUACGU